GGGGAUUUAGCUCAGUGGUAGAGUGCUUGCCUAGGAAGCGCAAGGCCCUGGGUUCGAUCCCCAGCUCUG
rfam:Rattus norvegicus chromosome 4, whole genome shotgun sequence.